rnacentral:rRNA from 1 species
GGUAGUCCACGCCCUAAACGAUGUCAACUAGCUGUUGGGGCCUUCGGGCCUUGGUAGCGCAGCUAACGCGUGAAGUUGACCGCCUGGGGUGUACGGUCGCAAGAUUAAAACUCAAAGGAAUUGACGGGGACCCGCACAAGCGGUGGAUGAUGUGGAUUAAUUCGAUGCAACGCGAAAAACCUUACCUACCCUUGACAUGUCUGGAAUCCCAAAGAGAUUAGGGAGUGCUCGCAAGAGAACCGGAACACAGGUGCUGCAUGGCUGUCGUCAGCUCGUGUCGUGAGAUGUUGGGUUAAGUCCCGCAACGAGCGCAUCCCUUGUCAUUAGUUGCUACGAAAGGGCACUCUAAUGAGACUGCCGGUGACAAACCGGAGGAAGGUGGGGAUGACGUCAAGUCCUCAUGGCCCUUAUGGGUAGGGCUUCACACGUCAUACAAUGGUCGGGACAGAGGGUCGCCAACCCGCGAGGGGGAGCCAAUCCCAGAAACCCGAUCGUAGUCCGGAUCGUAGUCUGCAACUCGACUGCGUGAAGUCGGAAUCGCUAGUAAUCGCGGAUCAGAAUGUCGCGGUGAAUACGUUCCCGGGUCUUGUACACACCGCCCGUCACACCAUGGGAGUGGGUUCCACCAGAAGUAGUUAGCCUAACCGCAAGGAGGGCGAUUACCACGGUGGGGUUCAUGACUGGGGUGAAGUCGUAACAAGGUAGCCGUAUCGGAAGGUGC